UACGUAGGGUGAGAGCGUUAAUCGGAAUUACUGGGCGUAAAGAGUGCGUAGGCGGUUCUUGAAGUCCGCUGUGAAAGCCCCGGGCUUAACCUGGGAAUGGCAGUGGAAACUGGGGGACUUGAAUUGAGCAGAGGGGGGUGGAAUGCCGCGUGUAGCAGUGAAAUGCGUAGAGAUGCGGCGGAACACCGAUGGCGAAGGCAGCCCCCUGGGCUUAAAUUGACGCUGAGGCACGAAAGCGUGGGGAGCAAACAGG
rnacentral:rRNA from 1 species